rnacentral:rRNA from 1 species
AACGAACGCUGGCGGCAGGCCUAACACAUGCAAGUCGAGCGAGGUAGCAAUACCUAGCGGCGGACGGGUGAGUAACGCGUGGGAACGUACCCUUUGCUACGGAAUAGCCUCGGGAAACUGGGAGUAAUACCGUAUGUGCCCUUCGGGGGAAAGAUUUAUCGGCAAAGGAUCGGCCCGCGUUGGAUUAGGUAGUUGGUGGGGUAAUGGCCUACCAAGCCUACGAUCCAUAGCUGGUUUGAGAGGAUGAUCAGCCACACUGGGACUGAGACACGGCCCAGACUCCUACGGGAGGCAGCAGUGGGGAAUCUUAGACAAUGGGCGCAAGCCUGAUCUAGCCAUGCCGCGUGAGUGACGAAGGCCUUAGGGUUGUAAAGCUCUUUCAGCUGGGAAGAUAAUGACGGUACCAGCAGAAGAAGCCCCGGCUAACUCCGUG